GACAGAGGCCCCAAGCGUUAGGCGGAAUCACUGGGCUUAAAGCGUGUGUAGGCGGAUCGUUAAGUGUCUUGUGAAAUCCCACGGCUCACCCGUGGAACUGCUGGGCAUACUGGCGAUCUUGGGCCAACUAGGGGCAGUCGGAACAAGCGGUGGAGCGGUGAAAUGCGUAGAUAUCGUUUGGAACGCCAAUGGUGAAAACAGCUCGCUGGGGGUGCGCUGACACUGAGACACGAAAGCCAGGGGAGCAAACGGG
rnacentral:rRNA from 1 species